GACCGCGUAGUGUAUAGUGGUUAGCACGCUCGACUGACAAUCAAGAGGGCCGGGUUCGAGUCCCGGUGCGGCGAGGCA